rnacentral:misc_RNA from 1 species
AAGUCGUAACAAGGUUUCCGUAGGUGAACCUGCGGAAGGAUCAUUAAAGAAUUCGGCUUCGCGGCCAAGUUCUCACCCUUUGUAUACCGAAACCAUGUUGCUUUGGCAGCCCAUUCUUCGGCCUGGCCAGCAGGUUGAUAAAUCCACUAGAAUCUCUGCUGUCUGAGUACUAUACAAUAGUUAAAA